UACGGAGGGGGCUAGCGUUGUUCGGAAUUACUGGGCGUAAAGCGCGCGUAGGCGGCUUUGUAAGUUAGAGGUGAAAGCCCCGGAGCUUAACUCCGGAACUGCCUUUAAGACUGCAUCGCUAGAAUCGUGGAGAGGUGAGUGGAAUUCCGAGUGUAGAGGUGAAAUUCGUAGAUAUUCGGAAGAACACCAGUGGCGAAGGCGACUCACUGGACACGUAUUGACGCUGAGGUGCGAAAGCGUGGGGAGCAAACAGG
rnacentral:rRNA from 1 species